rnacentral:misc_RNA from 1 species
AACUUUCGGCAAUGGAUCUCUUGGUUCUGGCAUCGAUGAAGAACGCAGCGAAAUGCGAUAAGUAAUGUGAAUUGCAGAAUUCAGUGAACCAUCGAAUCUUUGAACGCACAUUGCGCCCGGCAGUAAUCUGCCGGGCAUGCCUGUCCGAGCGUCAUUUCUGCCCUCGAGCGCUGCUGGCUUGCCAGCAGCUGCCCGGUGUUGGGGCGCUACGGUUCAGGGCCUCGUGCCCUGUCCGUAGGCCCCGAAAUGAAGUGGCGGUCCCGCCGCGGCGCCCCCUGCGUAGUAGUAUUUCAACUCGCAUCGGGACCCGGUGGUGACCAGCCGUCAAACCCAACUUUCUAAUAGUUUGACCUCGGAUCAGGUAGGGUUACCCGCUGAACUUAAGCAUAUCAAUAAGCGGAGGCU